UACGAACUGCGCGAACGUUGUCCGGAUUUAUUGGGUUUAAAGGGUGCGUAGGCGGCCCUGUAAGUCAGUGCUGAAAUAUCCCGGCUUAACCGGGAGGGUGGCAUUGAUACUGUGGGGCUAGAGUACAGAUGAGGUAGGCGGAAUUGACGGUGUAGCGGUGAAAUGCUUAGAUAUCGUCAAGAACACCUAUAGCGAAGGCAGCUUACUAGGCUGUAACUGACGCUGAGGCACGAAAGUGUGGGGAUCAAACAGG
rnacentral:rRNA from 1 species